AAUCUUAGACAAUGGGGCAAACCCUGAUCUAACCAUUGCGCGUGAUCGAUUAAGGCCUUAGGGUUCUAAAAAUCUUUCGCCGGGGAGAAGAAUGACGGUACCCGGAGAAGAAGUUCGGUCUAACUUCUUGCCAGCAGCCGCGGUAAUAAGAAGGAAAAUACAAUUGUUAUGAAUUAUCGGGGGUAAAGAAGGGUUAGGAUGAUUGGUCAGUCAUCAGAGAAAUCCCUGGGCUGAACCCCGGAAGAACCGCUGAUAAUACCAGUUAUGAUACCGCUAGAUGAAAGGGGAAGUAUAAGUGGAGAAGCGAAAUUAGGAGAAAAUAGGACAAACAACAGCAGUGAAGAAGGCUCACCAGACCUAAAGUGACGACGAGGCGGGAAAAAGGGGGAGCAAACGCAGGAGAUACACCAUAGUCCACACGCAA
rnacentral:rRNA from 1 species